rnacentral:lncRNA from 1 species
UGGUCAAAUCUCUGAUCAAAUUGUGAGCCCGGAUAAGUCGCAAAUUUUUUUUACUAGCAAAGUUCCUUCUCAGACCUGCAGGGCUAUUCGGAGCAUAUUGAGAUUUACUCAGGGCAACUUCCCGAUUACUUACCUUGGGGUUCCUAUCUUUAAGGGUCGUGUGCAUGCCUCCUAUCUUCGACCGAUACAUGAUCGUGUGAUCAACAAGUUCGCGA